GCCCAGUAAUUUGUUACACGAGAAAGUUUUUAUUAAAUAUCAGAAUAUAAAACGACACUUACAUUUCUUCCCCAUCUUGUCCAAACAUGAAAUCCUUUGUCAUUUUUCAACACUUGAAUACGGUAAAAUUUAUCUGAUUUUCCAUCAACAAAGUUUAGUAAACAAUAAUAAUCUUGAAACACUUCGCCUUUGCCUAGCUUGCAAUGGUCAUCCAUGUUCAUAUGGUUAGCACUAUUUUCCAUCCAGCAAACUGACCUGACGUCAUUUUCGGAAGAUAGAAGAGUUAAAUGGCUAUGUAACUAACCCA